rnacentral:rRNA from 1 species
GAUCCUGGCUCAGGACGAACGCUGGCGGCGUGCUUAACACAUGCAAGUCGAACGAAAAGCGAUGGAAGCUUGCUUCUAUCAAUCUUAGUGGCGAACGGGUGAGUAACGCGUAAUCAAUCUGCCCUUCAGAGGGGGACAACAGUUGGAAACGACUGCUAAUACCGCAUACGAUCUAACCUCGGCAUCGAGGAUGGAUGAAAGGUGGCCUCUAUUUAUAAGCUAUCACUGAAGGAGGGG